rnacentral:rRNA from 1 species
AGCGAACGCUGGCGGCAGGCCUAACACAUGCAAGUCGAACGAAGCCUUCGGGCUUAGUGGCGGACGGGUGAGUAACACGUGGGAACGUACCUUUUGGCUCGGAAUAACGCAGAGAAAUUUGCGCUAAUACCGAAUGAGCCCUUCGGGGGAAAGAUUUAUCGCCGAAAGAUCGGCCCGCGUUGGAUUAGGUAGUUGGUGUGGUAAAGGCGCACCAAGCCUACGAUCCAUAGCUGGUCUGAGAGGAUGAUCAGCCACACUGGGACUGAGACACGGCCCAGACUCCUACGGGAGGCAGCAGUGGGGAAUAUUGGACAAUGGGCGCAAGCCUGAUCCAGCCAUGCCGCGUGAGUGAUGAAGGCCUUAGGGUUGUAAAGCUCUUUCACCGGAGAAGAUAAUGACGGUAUCCGGAGAAGAAGCCCCGGCUAACUUCGUGCCAGCCGCCGCCGUAAAAC